rnacentral:rRNA from 1 species
CAGUCGCCGCGGUAAUACGAAGGGUGCAAGCGUUAAUCGGAAUUACUGGGCGUAAAGCGUGCGUAGGCGGUUUGUUAAGUCUGCUGUGAAAUCCCCGGGCUCAACCUGGGAAUGGCAGCGGAUACUGGCAAGCUAGAGUGUGUCAGAGGAUGGUGGAAUUCCCGGUGUAGCGGUGAAAUGCGUAGAGAUCGGGAGGAACAUCAGUGGCGAAGGCGGCCAUCUGGGACAACACUGACGCUGAGGCACGGAAGCGUGGGGAGCAAACAGGAUUAGAUACCCCUGUAGUCCCUGUCUCUUAUAC